rnacentral:rRNA from 1 species
GAGUUUGAUCCUGGCUCAGAACGAACGCUGGCGGCAUGCCUAAUACAUGCAAGUCGAACGAGAAAGCUCCUUCGGGAGUGAGUAGAGUGGCGCACGGGUGAGUAACACGUAGGAGACCUACCCCUCAGUCGGGGAUAACGGGAAGAAAUUCCCGCUAAUACCGGAUAAGCCUGACGAAAAUGAAAGUAGUCUUGGAAAGGUGGCCUCUGAAUAUGCCACCACUGAAGGAAGGGCCUGCGCUCCAUUAGCUAGUUGGUAGGGUAACGGCUUACCAAGGCAACGAUGGAUAGCCGGUCUGAGAGGAUGACCGGCCACACUGGAACUGAGACACGGUCCAGACUCCUACGGGAGGCAGCAGUAGGGAAUAUUGCGCAAUGGGGGAAACCCUGACGCAGCGAUGCCGCGUGAGUGAGGAAGGCCUUCGGGUUGUAAAGCUCUGUCGAUGGGGAAAAAUGGCAUUUGGUCUAAUAGGCCGAGUGUUUGAUGGUACCCAUAAAGGAAGCACCGGCUAACUUCGUGCCAGCAGCCGCGGUAAUACGAAGGGUGCAAGCGUUGUUCGGAUUUACUGGGCGUAAAGGGCGUGUAGGCGGAUAAAUAAGUCAGGUGUGAAAUCUCGGGGCCUAACCCCGAAACUGCGCCUGAAACUGUUUAUCUAGAAUCUUGGAGAGGGAAGGGGAAUUUCACGUGUAGGGGUAAUAUCCGUAGAUAUGUGAAGGAACACCGGAGGCGAAGGCGCCUUCCUGGACAAGUAUUGACGCUGAGACGCGAAAGCGUGGGGAUCAAACAGGAUUAGAUACCCUGGUAGUCCACGCUGUAAACGAUGAGAACUAGUUUUUGGGGGUAUUGACCCCCCCGGAAACGAAGCAAACGCAAUAAGUUCUCCGCCUGGGGAGUACGGUCGCAAGAUUAAAACUCAAAGGAAUUGACGGGGGCCCGCACAAGCGGUGGAUUAUGUGGUUUAAUUCGAAGAUACACGCAAAACCUUACCUGGGCUUGAAAUCCUACGAAUUCGCUAGAGAUAGUGAAGUGCCUUUUACGAGGAGCGUAGAGACAGGUGCUGCAUGGCUGUCGUCAGCUCGUGUUGUGAAAUGUUGGGUUAAGUCUCGCAACGAGCGCAACCCCUAUUAUUAGUUGCCAGCAUUAAGUUGGGCACUCUAGUAAGACUGCCCGGGCUAACCGGGAGGAAGGUGGGGAUGACGUCAAGUCCUCAUGGCCCUUAUGUCCAGGGCUACACACGUAAUACAAUGGUCGGUACAGAGGGAAGCGAACUCGCGAGGGGGAGCUAAUCUCAAAAAACCGAUCUCAGUCCGGAUUGGAGUCUGCAACCCGACUCCAUGAAGUUGGAAUCGCUAGUAAUCGCGGAUCAGCAGGCCGCGGUGAAUACGUUCCCGGGCCUUGUACACACCGCCCGUCACACCAUGGGAGUUGGCUCAACCUUAAGUCGUGACCCUAACCACUUUGUGGAGGGGAGCGCCUACGGUGGGGCCGAUGACUGGGGUGAAGUCGUAACAAGGUAGCCG